ACUGAUGGUGCUACUCUGAGCUGCUUCUUCCUCUCUCCUCUUUUGCACAAAGAGUCUCAUGUCUGAUAUUUAGACAUGAUGAGCUUUGUGCAAAGUGGAACCUGGUUUCUUCUCACCCUUCUUCAUCCCACUCUUAUUUUG
ensembl:miRNA Gm54819 predicted gene, 47302